rnacentral:rRNA from 1 species
CGAACGCUGGCGGCAGGCCUAAUACAUGCAAGUCGAACGGCUCUUCGGAGCAGUGGCGGACGGGUGAGUAACGCGUGGGAAUGUGCCCUUUGGUACGGAACAACACAGGGAAACUUGUGCUAAUACCGUAUGUGCCCUCCGGGGGAAAGAUUUACCGCCAUUGGAGCAGCCCGCGUUGGAUUAGGUAGUUGGUGAGGUAAAGGCUCACCAAGCCUACGAUCCAUAGCUGGUCUGAGAGGAUGACCAGCCACACUGGGACUGAGACACGGCCCAGACUCCUACGGGAGGCAGCAGUAGGGAAUCUUGCGCAAUGGGCGAAAGCCUGACGCAGCCAUGCCGCGUGUAUGAUGAAGGUCUUAGGAUUGUAAAAUACUUUCACCGGGGAAGAUAAUGACGGUACCCGGAGAAGAAGCCCCGGCUAACUUCGUGCCAGCCGCCGCCGUAAAAC